rnacentral:rRNA from 1 species
GACGUAGGGCGCGAGCGUUGUCCGGAUUUAUUGGGCGUAAAGAGCUCGUAGGCGGCUUGUUGCGUCAGCUGUGAAAACCCGCAGCUCAACUGUGGGCUUGCAGCUGAUACGGGCAGGCUUGAGUUCGGUAGGGGAGACUGGAAUUCCUGGUGUAGCGGUGAAAUGCGCAGAUAUCAGGAGGAACACCGAUGGCGAAGGCAGGUCUCUGGGCCACUACUGACGCUGAGAAGCGAAAGACAUGGGGAGCGAACAGG